rnacentral:rRNA from 1 species
GGGCUGCAGUAUUUUGACUGUACAAAGGUAGCAUAAUCAAUAGUCUCUUAAUUGGUGACUUGUAUGAAAGAUUGGAUGAGAUAUAUACUGUCUCUAAUUAAUUUAUAGAAAUUAAUUUUUUAGUAAAAAAGCUAAAAUAAUUUUAAAAGACGAGAAGACCCUAUAGAGUUUAAUAGUUUAUUUAAUUAUUAUUAAUAUAUAAUUUUUAAAAUUAAAAUUAAAUGAAUUAUUUUGUUGGGGUGAUAGAAAAAUUAAAUUAACUUUUUUUAAUUAUUAACAUUAAUUUAUGAUUAAAUGAUCCAUUUAUAAUGAUUAAAAGAAAAAAUUACCUUAGGGAUAACAGCGUAAUUUUUUUUUUUAGUUCAAAUAGGAAAAAAAGUUUGCGACCUCGAUGUUGGAUUAA